rnacentral:tRNA from 1 species
GGGCCCGUGGCUUAGCCUGGAUAUAGCGCCGGCCUUCUAAGCCGGAUGUCUCGGGUUCGAAUCCCGACGGGCCCGCCA